rnacentral:miRNA from 1 species
UUGAAUUGGCAAAAAAGUUUGUUUGAGUUCUUUCAUAAGAUGUUAUGAAAAACACAAAAGAACCUUUUGGCCAACACAAU